rnacentral:rRNA from 1 species
CCUACGGGAGGCAGCAGUGGGGAAUAUUGCACAAUGGGGGAAACCCUGAUGCAGCGACGCCGCGUGAGUGAUGAAGUCUUUCGGUCUGUAAAGCUCUAUCAGCAGGGAAGAUAAUUACGGUACCUGACUCAGACGCCCCGGCUAACUACGUGCAAGCAGCCGCGGUAAUAAGGAGGAGGCCAGCGUUAUCCGGAUUUUCUGGGUGUAAAGGGAGCGUAGUUGGGAGGGCAAGUCAGAUGUGAAAGCCCGGGGCUCAACCCCGGUACUGCAUUUGACACUGUCCAGAUAGAGUGCAGGAGAGGUAGGCGGAAGGCGUAGUGUAGCGGUGAAAUGCGUAGAUAUUAGGAGGAACACCAGUGGCGAAGGCGGCUUACUGGACGGUCACUGACACUGAGGCACGAAAGCGUGGGGAGCAAACAGGAUUAGAUACCCGUGUAGUC